GUUUUAAUAAUUUAAAAAAAAUACUGGUCUUGUAAAUCAGAAAUGAGCCGCAGCUCUUAAAACU
rnacentral:tRNA from 1 species